rnacentral:tRNA from 1 species
GCCUGGGUGGCUCAGUUGGUUGAGCGUCCGACUUUGGCUCAGGUCAUGAUCUCAUGGUUCGUGGGUUCGUGCCCCAUGUCAGGCC